GGAUUACACUGCAUUCCAAAUAAUGGUUGUUUCUUUGUGAUUUGAAUGGGGUAUGGGAAUCAAACCUGCAGUAUAGAACAGUAGGGAUUUAAACUUGAACUGGAAUUUAUUUUUCUUUAAGAAAAAGGAGUACAAAACGUCAACAACUGUAAGUUUAAAAUGUCAGAUUCACAAUGUUUAUUAUUUGUGAUUCUCUAGAUUUUUAAUUGCUUAAAAAAGAAUGACUAUAAAUUCUAAUACCUGGCACGUACUGAAACCCUAAUUUCUAUCUGGUCAUGAAAAGUGAUGCUGAGGAGUCAGGAAGGAAAACAUUCAAAACGUUUCAUUGAGGGUGGAAGAAAUUAACUGUUCAGUUCUAGAGAAUAAGAACAAGACUGAAUGGAUUUUCCCUUUCUGCUCUUAAAUGAUUUCUUUCUGAUUUUUAGGAGAAACUUUCUUUCUUCUAACGGUGUGCACUUACUCGUAGUCGGAAGCCAGACUCAGCUGGCUUCCCUAGAGAGGAAGCUCAAAAGCGCUUCGGUGUAUCUCACCAGGAAGAAACAAAAAUAAUGAAGGAUGAAAAUUUGGAGAGGC
rnacentral:lncRNA from 1 species